UACGAAGGGGGCUAGCGUUGUUCGGAAUCACUGGGCGUAAAGGGCGCGUAGGCGGCCAUUCAAGUCGGGGGUGAAAGCCUGUGGCUUAACCACAGAAUUGCCUUCGAUACUGUUUGGCUUGAGACCGGAAGAGGUUAGUGGAACUGCGAGUGUAGAGGUGAAAUUCGUAGAUAUUCGCAAGAACACCAGUGGCGAAGGCGGCUAACUGGUCCGGAUCUGACGCUGAGGCGCGAAAGCGUGGGGAGCAAACAGG
rnacentral:misc_RNA from 1 species